UACUGUAUUCAAUGAUGUACACGUUUUUUACAUAAAUAUAUGGCAGCAUAGAUUAUUUAACUUUGUGCAGCACACUAAAGUACUUGUAUCCAGUUCUGAUUUCAAACAAAAUCUUCAAUGUGUAGCAAGUGUACUUCACAACCUACAAAUUAGGUUUAGGGUCAGCCACUGUGUUAUUAGUCAGUUCUACUAAUCCAUGAGUAAAGUAUUUAAAGCCUUUUACCAUUUUCCAUUAAUUUAAAACAACACAUCAUCACAUUACAUCUCAAGAUGAACAUUAUUGCAGAUCCAUUAGUUACAGUGGUGUGUUUAAUUAUGCAACAACAGUACACUACUGCACUCCAGAUGUAACAAAUAAAUUGUUGGAUGACAAUCAGUCAGGCUUUAAAAGUGGACACUCCACCGAGACUGCCCUGCUGUCUGUCACCGAGUCGCUGAGACGGGCGAAAGCUGAAUCAAGACCAUCAGUCCUGAUUCUGCUGGACCUUUCUGCAGCCUUUGACACAGUCAACCAUCAGAUCUUGCUCUCUACCCUCUCCUCGCUGGGCAUCACAGGAAGUGUGCUUGACUGGUUUAAUUCCUAUCUCUCAGCCCAACGACACCACAGUGACUACUCGAAUUUCUGCCUGCCUGGCGGACAUCUCGGCCUGGGUGAAGGAGCACCACCUGCAACUCAACCCAGCCAAGACUGAACUCCUUGUCUUUCCAGCCAACCCUGAUGUUGAACACAACAUCACCGCGCUGCUGGGUGCAACUACAGUAACGCCUUCCAAAUCGGUCAGAAAUCUAGGGGUAACCAUCGACAACAGACUAAAUUUCACAGACCACAUCUCAAAGACCGCAAGAUCAUGUUGAUUUACACUCUACAAUAUCAGGAAGAUAAGAUCCUUCCUCUCUGAACAUGCCACACAACUGCUUGUCCAGUCACUUGUCAUAACUAGACUGGACUACUGUAACGCUCUCAUUGCAGGCCUCCCUGCAUGUGCAACUAGACCCCUCCAAAUGAUCCAGAAUGCAGCAGCACGUCUGGUCUUUAAUGAACCAAAGAGAGCACAUGUUACACCACUCCUUGUCUCUCUCCAAUGGCUACCGGUUGAUGCACGUAUCAAGUUCAAGGCUCUGAUGCUGGCAUACAGAACAGUUACUGGGUCUGCUCCAGCAUACCUAAAUUCAUUUAUGCAGAGCUACACGCCCACUAGAAGUCUGCGGUCGGCUAAGGACGUCGCCUUGUUGUACCAACACAAAGAGGCACCAAAACACUUUCCCGGACUUUCAGCUUCAUCAUACCACGUUGGUGGAAUGACCUUCCCAACUCCAUCCGUGAAGCUGACUCACUCUCUGUGUUCAAAAAACGACUAAAAACACAUCUUUUCCAUGAGCACUUAACCAGUCAUUAAAAAAAUAAAAACAUUUCUGUUGCACUUUAUUCUGUUUUGAAUACUAUGACUGUGAUGCUAGUGAUACUUUGUAAUACAGCACUUUUCAUACCACUGUCUCCUAAGAUGAUUCGCUUACGUUUUCCUCUCUUGUAAGUUGCUUUGGAUAAAAGUGUCUGCCAAAUGAAUAAAUGUAAAUGUAAAUGUAAAUAAAUGAUUAUAAACUGAGAAUAUAAAAGGAAAAUUAAAAAGUUCCAAAAAGUA